GUUCAUUUAUCUAUUAUGCCCUUCGUUACCGUCCUCCGUUCCCGUGUGGCUUCGGUUUCUCCUCUGUGCAUCGAAGUUCGAAGAACGAACGAGACAAGCAAUUAGUUACUCAGAGUCACCGAAAGCCUUCUUCUUUCUAUUAUCAGAUUCAGAUCGGAGAAUUGUUGAAUUCUAGCUUCUCUUUCAUGCGCGGAUAGUUUCCAAAAUACCUUUUCUAAGUAUUUAACAUGGAGCGGAUCAUCGGCGGCAAGUACAAGCUCGGCCGCAAGAUCGGGAGCGGAUCCUUCGGUGAAAUUUACCUCGCUACUCAUGUCGAUACUUUUGAGAUAGUCGCGGUUAAAAUUGAGAACACUAAAACUAAGCAUCCACAACUGCUCUAUGAGGCAAAACUGUAUCAUGUUCUUCAAGGAGGAAAUGGAAUUCCUAGCAUAAGGUGGUCUGGUAUAGACCGGGAGGACAAUGUGCUAGUUCUUGAUUUGCUGGGACCCAGUCUUGAAGAUCUCUUUGUGUAUUGUGGAAGAAAGUUUUCGUUGAAGACUGUAUUAAUGUUGGCUGAUCAGAUGAUCGCUAGAAUAGAAUAUGUUCAUUCUAAGGGUUUUCUACAUAGAGAUAUAAAACCUGAUAACUUUCUCAUGGGACUUGGGCGGAAGGCCAAUCAGGUUUACGUAAUUGACUUUGGGCUUGCAAAACGAUAUCGGGAUCCCACAACCAAAAGUCAUAUUCCUUACCGGGAGAACAAAAACUUAACAGGUACUGCACGUUAUGCAAGUUGUAAUACUCACCUUGGCAUUGAGCAAGGCCGCCGGGAUGACUUGGAGUCACUAGGAUAUGUGCUUCUGUACUUCCUUAGAGGAAGUCUUCCUUGGCAAGGUCUAAAGGCUGCAACAAAGAAGCAAAAGUAUGAUAAAAUAUGCGAAAAGAAAGUAUCAACUCCUAUUGAGGUCCUAAGCAAAUCUCAUCCUGUAGAGUUUGCUUCAUACUUUCAUUAUUGCCACUCUUUGACAUUUGACCAGCGACCUGAUUAUGGGUUUUUGAAGCGUCUUUUCCGGGACCUAUUUGCUCGACAAGGUUUUGAAUUUGAUUAUGUGUUUGAUUGGACCAUUUUAAAGUACCAACAGACACAGAAGGUUAAAGUUCAGCCUCACACAUCUCCAGCUCCUGGAGCACGCAGAAGUCAGGCAAUGCCAACGGUUGUUGACAAUUCCCAUGGUGUUUAUGCUUAUUCAGGGGAUGUAUCGGAGCACAUUAGAUCUGGCAAUGCUACUGGUUCUGGUGUUAAGAUGCAGUUUAAAUCAACAGCAGGAAAAAAUGUGGGUGUUGGUAAUCCUGUUGAAAAGAAUAUUUUUGAAGAAGCAAAUAUGCCUUCUACUUCAUAUUCACAUGCUGGUACCUCAAAAAGGAAAUUCCUGAAGCCCGCCUUGACCACUGAAGCUGCAAACCCUGUUCGUGGCCAAGGCAGUAAGAUUGGUCCUUCAAGUAGCUGGAUUUCAUCUCUGCAACGCAUAUCUUCUGCCAAAUGAAUGAUCUAUAUGCUUUGAAUCAGGUCAUGAAGACUCAGCAUAUAUUUGAAGCUGCAAAUGUGUGGAUUCGGCGUAUAUUCCUCAAAUGGCUGGUAAAAAAAAUAUUUUGGUGAUCAAUUGAUGGAGACUGUAACUGUGCGGCAAAGAUGAUAAAUUGCAUCAAUUCUCCUUUAAGACCACACGCUACUUUCGGACUGCAAAUAAUUGGUCAUUAUAAGAAAUAUAGACUGCUCUGGCUUGGCUUCUGUGCUGUACAUAUAUUUGAAACGUGGACCACCAUGAUCCUGUUGCUGUGUAUUCAUCUCUUUAUGUAACAUUAAUUGACCAGGUUCUCAAGAAUAUAAACAAUACCAAUUCUGAGGCAAAAGUUUUGGUUGAAAGAUCUCUGAAAUAAUGGUUUUCUGAGAAAUAUCAAAGGUGCACAUACUCUGACACUUGGCCUGUUUAAUUUGUAUCUUCACUCUCGAGACCAAUGAAUAGAGGCUGGGUUUAUUUCAGCCAAGUUCAAGGACUCUUUUACAGACAAUAUUAUCUGCUGGAUCAUUUAUGACAGAAAAUUGCCAUUUAUAUGCAUGCUGCUAUCAGCAGGACCCUGCUUCUACCUUUAGUAAAUACCUUGAGGAAAUAAAUGAUUCCAUCGUUUCUACUUCACAUCAUCUUUAAGGCAUGUUCUGGCUGAUUUUCAAUAGUUCGAUGUGGAUUCAAUAGGUUUGAAAGUGGCCAUGAUUACACCGGGAACAACCUAGCUUACCUUGUGAUGGUGCUUUAAUAUAAAAAUGUAUGCUGGAUUAUAUGUUAAAACCAUAUGGAUUUGGACGGCAGCUUUCUGCUGAAGUUUUAUGGACAAAAGGGGAGAUUUAUUUAUUUUUUUCAUUUUUGGUGUUUUGGGGCCAGAGCGGUGACGUCAGAUGCCUCAGAAAUUCUGCAAACCUCUGUUCUAAUAUUGGAUAUUUCUGUGACACCUUUAAUUGAGGGAUCAAAAUAGUUAUCGUCUGUUUGUCACUUCCGAUAUCAAGGUUCUACAAAUCCGUGUCCCUUUUGUGCAUUUUGAAGCCGUCAACUGGAAGUUUUGAACCCUUGGAAUCUGAGAAUGGAUUUUCUGUGCCAGAUUGGAUUGUCGUUUAACUGCUUUAUGAGGUCUGGGGCUUUGUAAUGAGCAUAACAGCUGUUUUUGGCAUGAACGCUGGUUGCCACAGUGCUUCUAAAGGGUUCCCAAACUCCCCCUCAGUGCUGAUCUGGGCAACUCUCAGGGGGCAAGCAAUGAGCAAGAUUCAGUUUUUAUGGUGAUCAUUACUCUUAGAUUAGCUGGUGCUUGGGGAUCCGUUGAUGCAUACGAAGUAAAGUAAACUCGGAAGACAACCCAGCCUAUCCCAUACUAGCUUAUCAUGUUGAAGAAGUGGUUGAUGACUUGAUGGAAAGGCGUACGGCUUAUUCGGAGGGUUUUUUGGCUAUUCAAGUCCAAGUCAGUACAAUUUCAGACGCAGCAUAUUUCCUUGCUCGU